rnacentral:rRNA from 1 species
AUUGAACGCUGGCGGCAGGCCUAACACAUGCAAGUCGAGCGAGCGUCGGACGGGUGUGUAAUGUAUGUGGAAUGCCCGAUAUAGGGGGAUAACUACGGGAGACGGGGGCUCAUAUCGCGUAUUAUCUGGUAACCCAUAUGGGAUUAGCUAGUAGGUGGGGUAAUGGCUCACCUAGGCGACGAUCCCUAGCUGGUCUGAGAGGAUGCUCAGCCACACUGGAACUGAGACACGGCCCAGACUCCUACGGAGGCAGCAGUGGGGAAUAUUGCACAAUGGGCGCAAGCCUGAUGCAGCCAUGCCGCGUGUAUGAAGAAGGCCUUAGGGUUGUAAAGUACUUUCAGUCGGGAGGCGUUACCGACAGAAGAAGCACCGGCUAACUCCGUGCCAGCAGCCGCGGUAAUUC